GCCGGGUGUGGUGGUGCACGCCUGUAAUCCCAGCACUUUGGGAGGCCGAGGUAGGCGGAUCACUUGAGGCCAGGAGUUCAAGACCAGCCUGGCCAACAUGGUGAAACCCCAUCUCUA
ensembl:misc_RNA Metazoa_SRP Metazoan signal recognition particle RNA